UACGAAGGGGGCUAGCGUUGUUCGGAAUUACUGGGCGUAAAGCGUGCGCAGGCGGCUUCUCAAGUCAGGGGUGAAAGCCCAGAGCUCAACUCUGGAAAUUGCCUUUGAGACUGAGUGGCUUGAGUACGAGAGAGGUGAGUGGAAUUCCCAGUGUAGAGGUGAAAUUCGUAGAUAUUGGGAAGAACACCGGUGGCGAAGGCGGCUCACUGGUCCGAUACUGACGCUGAGGUGGCGAAAAGCGUGGGGAGCAAACAGG
rnacentral:rRNA from 1 species